AUUGAACGCUGGCGGCAGGCCUAACACAUGCAAGUCGAACGAGUGGCGGACGGGUGAGUAAUGUCUGGGAAACUGCCUGAUGGAGGGGGAUAACUACUGGAAACGGUAGCUAAUACCGCAUACCAUCGGAUGUGCCCAGAGGGGAUUAGCUAGUAGGUGGGGUAACGGCUCACCUAGGCGACGAGCCCGAGCGGGUCUGAGAGGAUGACCAGCCACACUGGAACUGAGACACGGUCCAGACCCCUACGGGAGGCAGCAGAGGGGAAUAUUGCACAAUGGGCGCAAGCCUGAUGCAGCCAUGCCGCGGGGAUGAAGAAGGCCUUCGGGUUUUAAAGUACUUUCAGCGGGGAGGCGUUACCCGCAGAAGAAGCACCGGCUAACUCCGUGCCAGCCGCCGCGGUAAUUC
rnacentral:rRNA from 1 species